UUCAUCUCACAAGUUGGUAUACUGUCCACCACCACUCAUUUUUGUUGCGGACAAAAACUAAAACAGCAGGAACAGGAACUAGCCAGCCAUUGUUAAUCCUUCCUAGUGAGCGUGAGCGCGAGCAUGGCCAUUGCAUAGCAACAGAAUAAUAAGAGAUAUGGCCGCCUUCACCAGUACCUCUAUCCUCUCGCCCUCUCAGCAGCUGCAGCGCCACCUCCGUCUCCGCCCUUCUUUCCUCUCCCCAAACAGUCUUUCUACCGUCCGCUCCCCUCCCAAUAAUAAGCAGCUCAAUUAUUUUGACAUUAGGGCAGCUGCUACUCCCCUUUUCGCUGAUCCGGACGUACAUGAUUUUGCUUCAACAUCUCUUACGACCAGCUGGGCAGAAUUUGCUGAAAACGUAUCCGGUGAAUGGGACGGAUUUGGAGCCGAUUUCACGGUGCAGGGGAAGCCCAUCGAACUACCGGAAAUGGUGGUCCCCGAGGCUUACAGGGAAUGGGAGGUCAAGGUCUUCGACUGGCAAACCCAGUGCCCCACUCUCGCUCAAUCCCAUAACAACUCUCCCUCUCUCAUGUACAAGACAAUUAAGCUCUUACCCACCGUCGGGUGCGAAGCCGAUGCCGCCACCAGGUACAGCAUUCAGGAGAGAAAUAUAACUGCACAACAUAAAUCUGCCUUUGCAUAUCAAUCUACGGGAUGUUAUGUUGCAUUAUGGCCUACGGCUAACCAGAUUGAUAGUGCAAAUAAACCAAUGCAGUUAGAGCACUGCUUGAUUGAUCCUACUGACAAAGAGUCGCGGGUUAGGAUAAUUCAGGUCCUUGAGUUACAAGAAUCUGACUUGAAAUUGAAGAGUAUUACAGUCUUUGUUGAACAGUGGUACGGUCCCUUCAGGAAUGGGGAUCAGCUGGGCGGAUGUGCCAUACGUGAUUCCGCAUUUGCUGCCACUCAACCCCUGAAAGCUUCACAAGUUUCCGGUGUUUGGCAAGGCCUAGCUGCUGUUGCCGGCUUUAAUACUUGUCAAACUAUGAUCCAACAACUUGGGGAUGAAUGUGUACGCAAGUCAUUCAGAGAUGAGGCUGACCUCAUAUUGCUCCCAAAGCAACUUUGGUGUUCACUGAAGAGAGUAGAGGAUAAAGGAACUUGCUGUGAAGUGGGAUGGUUGUUGGGUGAGGGACGAGCCAUCACUUCAAAAUGCACCUUUUCUAGCACCGCAGAGCUGAAGGUGGUCCUACUCUGGAGGGAUGGUAUCCCCAUAUGCGGAUUGCCAAUCAAAGAAAAAGAACUAUAUGGAUCCUUUGGAAUACAAUGAAUCAUCAAUUGCAUAUGAAUUAAUUUGUUCUGAUGAAGAUGCAUGCAGAAAACAAAAUCAGCAUUUACUUCUGGAGAUUGCCAUAGCAAGUGAAACUGCUACUCCAGUUUAGUUCCCAAUGUGCCUGUUGUGAUGAGUUCCAUCAUCUAAAUCACUUGAAGAAGUUCUACAGAAUAAUUUGUGCCAGGAUAGUCAGGCAAAAUCUAUACGAUAUGCUUUUAUGCUGGUCUUCAACUGUACCAUGAAAGCUACAUAUAGUCAAACUUGUGCAUUGAUCCCACAAAUUCUGUGAUCAGACUUGACGUGCUUUAACUUCAUAAUCCAGCAAAGGAUAUCAAACCCCUA